rnacentral:rRNA from 1 species
UGAGCCUCCUUCGGGAGGAGAUUAGAGGCGAACGGGUGACUAACACGUGGGCAAUCUGCCCUUCACUCUGGGACAAGCCCUGGAAACGGGGUCUAAUACCGGAUACGACCACCGACCGCAUGGUCUGGUGGUGGAAAGCUCCGGCGGUGAAGGAUGAGCCCGCGGCCUAUCAGCUUGUUGGUGGGGUGAUGGCCUACCAAGGCGACGACGGGUAGCCGGCCUGAGAGGGCGACCGGCCACACUGGGACUGAGACACGGCCCAGACUCCUACGGGAGGCAGCAGUGGGGAAUAUUGCACAAUGGGCGAAAGCCUGAUGCAGCGACGCCGCGUGAGGGAUGACGGCCUUCGGGUUGUAAACCUCUUUCAGCAGGGAAGAAGCGAAAGUGACGGUACCUGCAGAAGAAGCGCCGGCUAACUACGUGCCAGCAGCCGCGGUAAUACGUAGGGCGCAAGCGUUGUCCGGAAUUAUUGGGCGUAAAGAGCUCGUAGGCGGCUUGUCACGUCGGAUGUGAAAGCCCGGGGCUUAACCCCGGGUCUGCAUUCGAUACGGGCAGGCUAGAGUUCGGUAGGGGAGAUCGGAAUUCCUGGUGUAGCGGUGAAAUGCGCAGAUAUCAGGAGGAACACCGGUGGCGAAGGCGGAUCUCUGGGCCGAUACUGACGCUGAGGAGCGAAAGCGUGGGGAGCGAACAGGAUUAGAUA